AUGAAUGUAUACGGUGUCGUUUCGCUUAGCACGACCCUUCAACUUCUUUACUCACCUCUGAUUCUCUUUCUCGUUUUCAAGCAGCGAUUUCCGGCAAGCAUGCCGCCGCGAGCGCCACCACUAAACCAGUCUAAAUCACCAUGGUCCAACACUGCAGUUGUGUUUCGUCUCAAUCGCAGAUUUCAGAUUUCAAUGGCUAAUAUGAACAUGAACAAAUCAAUAUACGAGAAUUGA